AGCGAACGCUGGCGGCAGGCCUAACACAUGCAAGUCGAACGACCCUUUCGGGGUUAGUUGCUGACGGGUGUGUCACACGUCGGAACGUUCCUUUAUGCUCGGAAUAACUCAGUUACACUUGUGCUAAUACCGAAUGUGCCCUUCUGGUGCAAGAUUAAUCGCCUUUAGAGCGGCCCGCGUCUGAUUAGCUAGUUGGUUGAGGUUAUGGCUCACCAAGGCGACGAUCAGUAGAUGGUCUGAGAGGAUGAUCAGCCACAUUGGGACUGAGACACGGCCCAAAAUACUACGGGAGGCAGCAGUGGGGAAUCUUGCGAAAUGGGCGAAAGCCUGAAGGAGCCAUGCCGGGUGAAUGAUGAAGGUCUUAGGAUUGAAAAAUUCUUUCACCGGGGACGAUAAUGACGGUACCCGGAGAAGAAGCCCCGGCUAACUUCGUG
rnacentral:rRNA from 1 species